ACCCCAGGUCAGGCGGGACUACCCGCUGAGUUUAAGC
rnacentral:rRNA from 9 species